CGCGGCCUAUCAGCUUGUUGGUGGGGUAAUGGCCUACCAAGGCAACGACGGGUAGCCGACCUGAGAGGGUGACCGGCCACACUGGGACUGAGACACGGCCCAGACUCCUACGGGAGGCAGCAGUGGGGAAUAUUGCACAAUGGGCGAAAGCCUGAUGCAGCGACGCCGCGUGAGGGACGAAGGCCUUCGGGUUGUAAACCUCUUUCAGCAGGGACGAAGCGCAAGUGACGGUACCUGCAGAAGAAGCACCGGCUAACUACGUGCCAGCAGCCGCGGUAAUACGUAGGGUGCGAGCGUUGUCCGGAAUUACUGGGCGUAAAGAGUUCGUAGGCGGUUUGUCGCGUCGUUUGUGAAAACCCGGGGCUCAACUUCGGGCUUGCAGGCGAUACGGGCAGACUUGAGUGUUUCAGGGGAGACUGGAAUUCCUGGUGUAGCGGUGAAAUGCGCAGAUAUCAGGAGGAACACCGGUGGCGAAGGCGGGUCUCCUGGGAAACGACUGACGCUGAGGAACGAAAGCGUGGGUAGCAAACAGGAUUAGAUACCCUGGUAGUCCACGCCGUAAACGGUGGGCGCUAGGUGUGGGUUCCUUCCACGGAAUCUGUGCCGUAGCUAACGCAUUAAGCGCCCCGCCUGGGGAGUACGG
rnacentral:rRNA from 1 species